CUUCAUCAUUCUCUAAUUCAUCUAUUUCUUGUUCAUCAACUUCUUCUCCAAUGUGUGACUCAUGACAAAGUUGACUAAUAGUCUCAUCUCCAAUCACAUGAUCCAAAUUUGACAUUUCAUCCAUUUGAAAUGCAACUUCUUCAUUUUGACCUACUUCAACUUCUUCGAUUCCACUCGUUGGUCUUGUUUUGAUUGCAGCACACCAACCUUGUUCGCUUCUGACAGUUGAUGGAUAAGGAACAUAAUACGUUUGUCUUACAUUAUGGGCCAGGGCAAAUGGAUCAAACCGUGGAUAUUUUUUGCUCAUACGAAUGUCUAUAGUAUUGGAUAUCAAAUUUAUUUUAGUUCCUCUGCUAGAUGGAUCAAACCACUUACAGUAAAACAAGACCACUUUUUUGCAUAAUCUAGGAACGUGUAGGAAAUUUCGUAAAUAUGCUCAAUUAUGCUAUAGAAAUCUUCUACUACACCACUAUUAGAGACACUUUUCAUACAAACUCCACUAUUAAUUGUUUCUUUUCCUUCAGUCCAAGAUUCAGUGUGAAAUUUGUAUCCAUUGACGUAAUAGGUGUGCCAUUCUUUGAAACUUCUACUCGGGCCCAUAGAUAAGUGCCUUAAGUGGAUGUUGAUAGGAGUUUGUUCUUUCAGAUGCACUUUUUGUUGAAACCAUAAUGGGAAAUUUGAAUGUAUAUCAUCAGAUGAUUUCCCCGUAUUUAAAAAUGCCCUGAUCGAUGACCAUAUAUAUGGUGAAUAUCAAUUUAAUCAUAUAAUUAAAUAUAAUUAAUAUGAAGAGGAAUUUGAAACGUACUCAAUGUAUGCUUUAACUUCAGUGCAGUUAAUCAAAACGUCAACAUGUGCC
rnacentral:lncRNA from 1 species